UACGAAGGGGGCUAGCGUUGUUCGGAAUUACUGGGCGUAAAGCGCGUGUAGGCGGUCUAGCAAGUCGGUUGUGAAAUCCCCGGGCUCAACCCGGGAACUGCAUCCGAAACUGCUGGGCUAGAGUUUCGGAGAGGAAGGCAGAAUUCCCAAUGUAGGGGUGAAAUCCGUAGAUAUUGGGAGGAAUACCAGUGGCGAAGGCGGCCUUCUGGACGAUGACUGACGCUGAGACGCGAAAGCGUGGGGAGCAAACAGG
rnacentral:rRNA from 1 species